CCAACCCAAACCAAACCAACUCCCCAUUCUUCCUCUAUAUAUCUCCUCUCCCCAUCGCCUCCUUUCCCCCAUAGCCUCCUCUUUUGAGGCCAGCAGUUGCCUCUCUUCUCUACUUCUAGCCUAUUCCCACCUCUCUCAGGCCGGCGCUUUGAUGGUAUGUGGUGCACCACAAGCAGCUGAAGCUGCCAGCAUGAUCUGAUCUCUUUUUCUUUCCUCUAGAUCUUGGAUGAGCAUACAUAUCAGAUCAUGUUGCAGUUUCAUCUGCUGAUGGGAGCACCAGGAAACCCUACAACCCUACUCCUUUCAUCACCCUAGAUCUCUCUCCUCAGAUUUCUUGAGAAACCCUAGAGGGAUAGCAAAAUGGAGUGGAGACGUGUGAAAGAAGAGAAGACAGCAGGAGGGAGAUUUCUUAAGUUUCUCGCACAUGGUUACUGCUUUUGACAUCCUGGCCUGGGGGGGGUGAACCUUGAUAUCCUUCCCUUUUCAAUUCGCAAUCCAUCAAACGAAGAAUCAGGAGCUUAAGCUGGAGUAGAUUCACAAAUAAGGGAUACAAAAGGCAGGAGCUAAGAGCUAAGGUGGUAAAAGCAGGGCAGAAGAGCCCAGGCUGGUUGACAACAUCAACUAACUCCAGCAUCUGGCGUGCUCAUGGGACCAGUGUACUGCUUUGCCGAAGACGGAGAGAGAGAAGGAACAACCUCUAAUGUUCCACACACGCAAUUCUCUCACCAUGAGCUAACAUGUAGCACAUGAAGAGCUCCUCCAGUUCACAGAAGGUAUGGCUUUGUAUAUAUUGAUGUCAUAUUUCAACAUAGCUUAUCUUCAAGCGAAUUGCCUUUGUGGGAUAUGAAACAUCAGUAAGCAUAUUAUCUUUAAAGUAAUGCAUUUUUUUUGGAA